UCCUGGUGGCUCAGAUGGUAAAGUGUCUGCCUGCAAUGCGGGAGACCCAGGUUUGAUCCCUGGAUCGGGAA
rnacentral:tRNA from 1 species